UACGAAGGGGGCUAGCGUUGUUCGGAUUUACUGGGCGUAAAGCGCACGUAGGCGGAUUGUUAAGUCAGGGGUGAAAUCCUGGAGCUCAACUCCAGAACUGCCUUUGAUACUGGCAAUCUUGAGUCCGGAAGAGGUGAGUGGAACUCCUAGUGUAGAGGUGGAAUUCGUAGAUAUUAGGAAGAACACCAGUGGCGAAGGCGGCUCACUGGUCCGGUACUGACGCUGAGGUGCGGAAGCGUGGGGAGCAAACAGG
rnacentral:rRNA from 1 species